GAGUACCUUUACACCACAACAUUCAAUAAACACACUUGAAAGCAAAAAGAAAAAUUCCACUCGAAAUAAACAAAUGCAAGUCGAUCAUUAAAAAGCAGGAGUCGAUUUACUCCCUUCUCAUCCCCAUUCUCGGCCUCCCCUCUCUCUCUCUCUAUACUCUCUUUUCCUCCAUUGAUGUCCAUUGAAGAAAGCUUAGAGAAGCUUCAUCAAACACUACUAUGAGAUAAUCCACCAUCCAAUCCAAUCAAAUACUAUCAUAUCUCAUCAAAUUCAAGAAGCUAGAGCUAAGAUCAAAGUUGGAGCAAAGUCUUGAUCACCUUUUAAAUCCUUGAGCUUUGUGACCAGGGGAAUUAGCGCUGCUUUCCCAAGACAGGUUUAUAUGUGAUUAUGAUCUUCAGGCUUUGCCUAACCAGGUUGGCUGGCUGGUGCUGACGGGACGGAGCUGAGGCUAGAGUUAAAAUUUCUAUGUUAGACUUCCGCUGUAGCAAUUACUCAUAUCAGUCUUUUGUUUUUACAACUUAAGAUCUUCAUGUUAAAUUUCAAAUGAUAUACAUGACCGAGCUUAGACUCUUCACUACUAAAUUUAUGCUAAUGAAUGUCGGUUGUCAGAAGCAUGAAACAAAA